UCUCAUUCUCAAUAACACGGGGAGACUCACUCCCCUCCUUGUGAAGGUUUCAUCGCCCCGCAUCUGCACCUUGUCCCUUGUGUGCGUGCAUGAAUUAUGUUUCUCAGACUUGAAAUUUCCUCUUCUUAGCUCGGUGGUCACCCAUUUCUCAGGUGGUCUUAAAGCAUUUUGAAUUCUAUUUUCUGUUUGGUAGCUCUGAGAGCUGACGAAAAGUCAGGGAAAGAAAAGAGUCCAAAAUCUUGUUUGCAGAGGUCCUAGUGGCAAAGAUUGCUUCUUUGAAAGAAAUGUUGGAUGCCAGCAAUGGGAGAAUAAAUCCUGUGGUUGAUCAGUAUUCUGCAACAUGAAUCAGUAUGUUUCACUUCUUGCUUUAAUAUGUGAUAUCUGAAUCUUAACAUUGUUAUAUUAUGUGGACAUGCAUCAAGUUAUUGAAAGUUA